rnacentral:lncRNA from 1 species
CUUCCUAGUACCCACUUUCAGCCUGGACUCUUCCCCACUCCUAGCACAUACGGGGGCGGAGAUCUAUCAGGGAUGGUCCUUACCCUCCGUCCUGUUCCCUCAACCCGCUUCCUCGGUUUCUGUUUUUGUCCUUUUAAGGCCUGGGAUCCAACCGUGAUCUGAGACAGGGCUGGAGAAAGAAAAGCUGGGUAACUGAACUCAGGUCUGACCCUUGACCCUACUGGUCUUCCUCCUCCUACAGAUUCCUUUUGGCUCUUCAAAAGUCUGGAAUGGUGGCCCCAAGCCAGCAGCCUGGAGGUCACUCAUCGUGGUUCUGACUCUCUGGGCUCCUGAGAGAGAAUGCACAGAAGGGACCAGCACCCCCACCCCACGCCCCGGCAGGCUUAGUUCAUGCUCAGAGAGGUCUCAGGAUGCCUGCUGCCAAGCUGUGUGUGCCAGAGCAGAUGUGAGGUCUGGCUCUGGACAAGUGAGCCAAAGACAGAUGAGCACAAUGUGCUUCCCCAUGACCAGGAGUGGGCCUGUUUCCCGUGGAAGAUCUGAGCAAGAAGUCAGUAUUGGAGGAAUGCCCGCACAGGUUCCCUCCUCAAUUCACUUUACGCCAAAGGAUAAAGCAAGCUUUUCAAGCAACACCACCAAUAAAGAAUCUCCCAGGGUCUUCCAGUGGGUCCUCCCGUGGCCCUGACCCCCUGCCUUGUGAGAGGGAGCAGGUGUGGAUCGUGGAGGGGAACACAGACAACGAGAGACUCGGAGGGCAUAAAAGCACAGUGGGCACCUUUAAUAUGUGA